AUUAUAUAGUUGAAUUACAACAUAAAACUGCAACUUUUAAAGUGUUUAAGACUAUAAUUU
rnacentral:tRNA from 1 species